AAAGGCCUCAAGCAGCAAAUGACUGUUUAGUUUAAAUGAAUGUGAACGUGAUCUUUUACAUCGGUAAAAAUUCAGUAAUCAGUGAAGCCAAAGCAGAAGAUGAAUUGAUAAACCCAAAUGAACGACGUUCACAGCCUCUGGUAGACGUCCAUCUCACGUAGGAUGAGGCAAAGCGAACGAUGUCACCAUGGUAACAAGCUGCAACGUGAUUAUUGGACUUUCACAGUAAGGAAAUCGUCCUUGAGAGACUGCAGGUCCCUGAGGACUCUCCAGCUGUUGGAGGUGCUGGUUUCUCAGGUGAGGCGCUAUUGAGGACCUGCAGGGUCCUGAACCUCAUCUCAGGUGCACGGGUGACACAAACCUCGAGGUCGGAGGAAACAGAAUAUCGGAACGAGACGUCCUCUAAACACCGGCCCUGAUGUGGACGGCAGCGCCCAGGUGGGAGGUGCUGAUGGUCGCUGACGUCCCGCCCCCCUCGAGCGCUGGCUGGUGCAAACACACAAACACACAAACACACAACACCAAAAACCUUGUCCAGACAAAUCACGUGACGAAGGAGGAGACCUGACGACGCCCCCGUUGACUGGCAGGACCCUCGACGUGACACGUGACACGAUGGAUUCAUGUCACGUUCUACUGAUGCCGCCACCACACAGGACACGUGAUGCCCACACCUCACAGGGGGCCACAGGCCUCUCCUACAUGUUACUCCCAUGAGCCUCGGCUCUAGUUCGCUGAAUGCGUCGCUCCACCCAAAGUGGGUGAAGUGAAAGUGGAAGAGCCGCCGGCGUGCUCCUGGUCCCUGAUUAUUCUGCAGAGCUCCACUAAGAAUCAAUCAAUUAAAGAAGAAGAGAAGCAAAGGUCGUCUUCAGCGACCCGCAGUGAUGUGAUUUCACUUGGAGGAAGGUUCCUCCCCCUGUUGCAUAACCAGUGGAAUGUCAGGUUUCCCUCACAGCUGACCUUUAGUAAACACACACACGUGUACACACACACAGCAUGUGUGCAGUCACACGCGUGUCGACUUCCAAACUCCUCGUUCUUGAUCAAUUAUUCAAACGUUACGCGUCGUGUCCGUGAGGCUUUGAGCUGAAUAAUUAGAACAGUCACUUCGUUCCUCCUUUUAAAGGGACAGUGACUCGUUCCUCCUCGACAGCCUCCAAAGUUCUGAGAGCGAAACACUUUCUCGGAGGAAAAGAAGUAAAUAUUGACUUUUAAACUCCAUCUUGUUGUGGAUGCACAGCUGUUUGUUCACAUGGAGCUCGAGGUUUUCCCACGACAAGGAUCACGAGGCAAACCGGAGACGUGCCACUUCUUUCAUGAGGCUGAGCUUGAUUUAGAACCUUGAUGACACAUUUGUGUCCAUGCAGAGAGAAUUUCUAUCUGUGAUAUUUUAAGGUACAAAUUCUUCUUUAUUAAACUCGGCCGGAUUGAAAUGUAAAUAAUUUAGAAUUCAACAUUUAUUAAGCAGGUAUGAAUUAUACAUUCAUGCAAAAUCUUGGCAAUGGGACUCCAUCCUGAUAUAGGAUAGAAGGGUGGAGAAGUCGGAAAAGACCCAAUGACUGGAGGGGGGGGGUCGUAUCGGA
ensembl:lncRNA